GACGAACGCUGGCGGCGUGCUUAACACAUGCAAGUCGAACGGAAAGGCCUGCUUUCCCUUGUGGAUUGCGGGUACUCGAGUGGCGAACGGGUGAGUAACACGUGAGUGAUCUGCCCCCAACUUGGGUAUAAGCCUGGGAAACUGGGUCUAAAUCCCGAUAGGACUGCAGGGUGGUGCCUGUGGUGGAAAACGAUUUUCUAGUGGUUGGGGAUGAGCUCGCGGCCUAUCAGCUUGUUGGUGGGGUAAUGGCCUACCAAGGCGGCGACGGGUAGCCGGCCUGGGAGGGUGGCCGGCAACUUUGGGACUGGGAUACGGCCCAGACUCUAACGGAGGCAGCAGUGGGGAAUAUUGCACAAUGGGCGGAAGCCUGAUGCAGCGACGCCGCGUGGGGGAUGACGGCCUUCGGGUUGUAAACUCCUUUCGACCGCGAGGAAGCCACCUGGUUGGAAGGGUGGUGACGGUAGUGGUAGAAGAAGCACCGGCUAACUACGUG
rnacentral:rRNA from 1 species